UACGUAGGUGGCAAGCGUUGUCCGGAAUUAUUGGGCGUAAAGCGCGCGCAGGCGGUCCUUUAAGUCUGAUGUGAAAGCCCACGGCUCAACCGUGGAGGGUCAUUGGAAACUGUUAGACUUGAGUGCAGAAGGGGAGAGUGGAAUUCCAUGUGUAGCGGUGAAAUGCGUAGAUAUAUGGAGGAACACCAGUGGCGAAGGCGACUGUCUGGUCUGUAACUGACACUGAGGCGCGAAAGCGUGGGGAGCAAACAGG
rnacentral:rRNA from 1 species